rnacentral:rRNA from 1 species
UCCGUAGGGUGAACCUUGCGGAAGGAUCAUUACCGAGUGCGGGAACCCAGUCGGGUCCCAAUCUCCCACCCGUGUCUACCACACCUAGUGUUGCUUUGGCGGGCCCACUCCUCCGGUGUUCCGCCGGGGGGGUCGUCCCGGGGCGCGGUGUGCCCCCGGGGCCCGUGCCCGCCAGAGGCACUCACUGUGAACGCUUUUGUGAAUGCGAGGAUUGUCUGAGUGACGAAAUGCAAUCGUUCAAAACUUUCAACAAUGGAUCUCUUGGUUCCGGCAUCGAUGAAGAACGCAGCGAAAUGCGAUAAGUAAUGUGAAUUGCAGAAUUCCGUGAAUCAUCGAAUCUUUGAACGCACAUUGCGCCCUCUGGUAUUCCGGGGGGCAUGCCUGUCCGAGCGUCAUUGCGAACCCUCAAGCACGGCUUGUGUGUUGGGCCGCCGUCCCCUCGUUUGGAGGGGACGGGCCUGAAAGGCAGCGGCGGCGUCGCGUCCGGUCCUCGAGCGUAUGGGGCUCUGUCACGCGCUCAAGGAGGGGUCCGGCCGGGGCCAUAGCCUCUGAAGGUCAAUUCUUCCAAGGUUGACCUCGGAUCAGGUAGGAGUACCCGCUGAACUUAAGCAUAUCAAUAAGCGGAGGA